CCUACGGGUGGCAGCAGUGAGGAAUAUUGGUCAAUGGCCGGAAGGCUGAACCAGCCAAGCCGCGUGAGGGAGGAAGGCGCAGAGCGUCGCAGACCUCUUUUGCCGGGGAGCAACGGGCGCCACGUGUGGCGCCACUGAGAGUACCCGGAGAAAAAGCAUCGGCUAACUCCGUGCCCGCAGCCGCGGUAAUACGGAGGAUGCGAGCGUUAUCCGGAUUUAUUGGGUUUAAAGGGUGCGUAGGCGGAGCGUUAAGUCAGUGGUCAAAUUGAGGGGCUCAACCCCUUCCCGCCAUUGAAACUGGCGCUCUUGAGUGGAAGAGAAGUAUGCGGAAUGCGUGGUGUAGCGGUGAAAUGCAUAGAUAUCACGCAGAACCCAGAUUGCGAAGGCAGCAUGCCGGCUUCCGACUGACGCUGAAGCACGAAAGCGUGGGGAUCGAACAGGAUUAGAUACCCGGGUAGUC
rnacentral:rRNA from 1 species